AUGAAAAUUGCUCAGAACGACGAGACGAAUCCGGAUACGCAGCCCGUUUAUCCACCACACAUCCCUAGCAUAGCGAACACGCAACUUUCCCCCUCCGUUUCAUCUGUCCGAAAACGCGAAACACCGGGGAUACUUUCCCGGAUGUCAUCCCCCUUCACCGGUAUCACCUACUACCGCGUUAGGGCACCUCUAACGCCGUUACUUGUCAUGUCAUGCAUCACUAUGCAUAUGCUUGCAUUAUAUUUAUUGUUUCUUCCCCCUCUUCUCUCGCUAGACACCGAGACCGACGCCGCUGCUACCCAGUACGACUACGGAGUUGACGACCCCUCUCUCUUGCCAGAGCAACCAGGCAAGCCCCCCCUUUGA
rnacentral:rRNA from 1 species